rnacentral:lncRNA from 1 species
UGCCCCAUGAUUUAUCAUUACACCAGCUUCUACUUUCAGGUUAGACAUUGCUCAAAGUUUUUUUUAAUAACAAUUUCUUAUAUAAAUUUAUAAAACAGCAAUAAUGUUCUGAAAUAAAACCUUGGCAUAAAUCUUUAUAUUGUAAUUUUAGAUAUGAUACAGACAUAAUAUAGAUAUAUGAACAUACUAAAAUCACGAGCAUAUCAAAAACUUCUAUAAAUUUAUAAAACCUUUAAUACAAUUAUGUCAUAAAAGAAGAUAUAAAAAGAAACACGAAUGGUAACAGAAUUUUCCACAAUAAUGCUAAAAACUUGAUUGUAUCAAAAUUGGAGGUACUUACCUUGCUCCGUUGCCGGAUUAAAAGUUUUCAAUUAUGCAAAAUCUAAGAACCCAAAUUCUUGUCUGAUUCUCCAUCAAUUUUCUUGCAUUUGGAAACUGUUUGAUUGGAAUAAAGAGCUUGGAGAUGAAGAAAGACCUGUGGUGUUUUUAACCAUGAUUCUUCAAAAGGAUGGCACAAUGUAGAGGAUAUCUGUAUUUUUUUUGUUCAGCUUUUGAUGAAAGUAAAGAAUCUCUAAAUGUCUGCAGGUUGCCUACAAGUUUCCAUUUUCAAUUCCUCCUUUUACUCUCUACUGAAGACAUCUUUUUUUUUAUAUAUAAAUAGGUAAAAUGAAGGUUUACUUGUAAGUUGAAAGUUGCAAAAGAUGUGAAUGGAAGUCUGGAAUCAACGAAAAAGAGGACCAAACCCCAUUCUAAUGAAAAUUCUCCUUGAAUGGAAAGGUUGUGUUAUCUCAAUCACGAAUGGAUAUACCAAUGGCAAAGGCCCACCUGCACAAGAUCAAUCACCACCGUUGCUUGCCAUGAUUAAGGAACUCAUGCAACUCCAAACAGUGUUGUGAAGUUUGGAAUAAGAUCAUAUUGAUAAUUACGUCUCGUGUUGUUUGCUCCAAGCAAGAAUCUUGCUUUGUCCUUCGGCUUCUUAAUCCUUAAAUAAGGUUUAUUUAAAAAAAAAAAUCAACUUGAUCCCACCCGAAUUUCAAAUUAGGAAUGAAAUAUUUUUAUUCUAUUCAACAUAAAAAAAGAUAAAAGAGGAAAAGAAUAGGAAGAGUUCACUGAGCUUGUGAAGGAUAGUGGAACUUUUACCCCCACCCCCAUGGAAUUACAUAUUGAUACUUCUAUUUUGGUCUGUUUCUGCAGUUUCUACAGCGUAGAGAGCCAGAAUGGAACAUGGUAUCGUUUCCAGGCAGAGUAGCAGUAGUGAAGACAUUUGCUCUGUAG